rfam:Schistosoma curassoni strain Dakar, Senegal genome assembly, scaffold: SCTD_scaffold0000832
ACACUGCUGAGAAGUCCCAUACUAGGACGAAACGGCCGUCCAGUGC